rnacentral:rRNA from 1 species
AGCAUAUCAAUAAGCGGAGGAAAAGAAACUAACAAGGAUUCCCCUAGUAACUGCGAGUGAAGCGGGAAAAGCUCAAAUUUAAAAUCUGGUGGUCUUUGGCCAUCCGAGUUGUAAUCUAGAGAAGUGUUACCCGCGUCGGACCGUGUACAAGUCUCCUGGAAUGGAGCGUCAUAGAGGGUGAGAAUCCCGUCUUUGACACGGACUACCGAGGCUUUGUGGUGCGCUCUCAAAGAGUCGAGUUGUUUGGGAAUGCAGCUCAAAAUGGGUGGUAAAUUCCAUCUAAAGCUAAAUAUUGGCGAGAGACCGAUAGCGAACAAGUACCGUGAGGGAAAGAUGAAAAGAACUUUGGAAAGAGAGUUAMACAGUACGUGAAAUUGCUGAAAGGGAAACGCUUGAAGUCAGUCGCGUUGGCCGGAAAUCAGCCUUGCUUUUGCAUGGUGUACUUUCUGGUUGACGGGCCAGCAUCAGUUUUGACCGGUGGAAAAAGUCCAGAGGAAGGUGGCAUCUUCGGAUGUGUUAUAGCCUCUGGUCGUAUACAUCGAUUGGGACUGAGGAACUCAGCACGCCGAAAGGCCGGGUCUUUGACCACGUUCGUGCUUAGGAUGCUGGCAUAAUGGCUUUAAUCGACCCGUCUUGAAACACGGACCAAGGAGUCUAACAUGCCUGCGAGUGUUUGGGUGGAAAACCCGAGCGCGUAAUGAAAGUGAAAGUUGAGAUCCCUGUCAUGGGGAGCAUCGACGCCCGGACCAGAAGUUUUCUGACGGCCCUGCGGUAGAGCAUGUAUGUUGGGACCCGAAAGAUGGUGAACUAUGCCUGAAUAGGGUGAAGCCAGAGGAAACUCUGGUGGAGGCUCGUAGCGAUUCUGACGUGCAAAUCGAUCGUCAAAUUUGGGUAUAGGGGCGAAAGAC